rnacentral:rRNA from 1 species
UAGGGAAUCUUCGGCAAUGGGGGCAACCCUGACCGAGCAACGCCGCGUGAGUGAAGAAGGUUUUCGGAUCGUAAAGCUCUGUUGUAAGUCAAGAACGGGUGUGAGAGUGGAAAGUUCACACUGUGACGGUAGCUUACCAGAAAGGGACGGCUAACUACGUGCCAGCAGCCGCGGUAAUACGUAGGUCCCGAGCGUUGUCCGGAUUUAUUGGGCGUAAAGCGAGCGCAGGCGGUUUGAUAAGUCUGAAGUUAAAGGCUGUGGCUCAACCAUAGUUCGCUUUGGAAACUGU